rnacentral:rRNA from 1 species
GACGAACGCUGGCGGCGUGCCUAAUACAUGCAAGUUGAGCGCUGAAGGUUGGUACUUGUACCGACUGGAUGAGCAGCGAACGGGUGGGUAACGCGUGGGGAAUCUGCCUUUGAGCGGGGGACAACAUUUGGAAACGAAUGCUAAUACCGCAUAAAAACUUUAAACACAAGUUUUAAGUUUGAAGGAUGCAAUUGCAUCACUCAAAGAUGAUCCCGCGUUGUAUUAGCUAGUUGGUGAGGUAAAGGCUCACCAAGGCGAUGAUACAUAGCCGACCUGAGAGGGUGAUCGGCCACAUUGGGACUGAGACACGGCCCAAACUCCUACGGGAGGCAGCAGUAGGGAAUCUUCGGCAAUGGACGAAAGUCUGACCGAGCAACGCCGCGUGAGUGAAGAAGGUUUUCGGAUCGUAAAACUCUGUUGGUAGAGAAGAACGUUGGUGAGAGUGGAAAGCUCAUCAAGUGACGGUAACUACCCAGAAAGGGACGGCUAACUACGUG